GUGCCUGCAGCCGCUAUUUAAGCCCCCAACUCAAACAAGAUCUCUUCAGAUCUCCAUCCACUACCUCUGCGUUCCUCAACAUAAAUCAUGGCUUUGGAUGGAAAAUAAAUGCAACCUGUCCUCUCUUUAAUUUGGGAGUCUUAGGCAAUCAGCUCCUUUCUUAGAAACCUGAAAAGUUUUAAUAUGUGCCUCCAACCACCGAGCUCCAGCGCCUCACCACCCAGCCUCUCAUUCAAGCCUCACCAGCCUUCACCAUCCUCACUUCAAUAAAUACCCCUUUACCCACCACCCU